UCGGUGGCCAAGUGGUUAGCGCACUUGCCUUUCACCUCUGAGGCUGCAGGUUCGAGUCUCACUAAGCACCUUCUCAGUGCGACUCGAACCCAGUCCCCAUGUGAAAAGAGUAAAAGUCAACGCUCUGCUGAAAACCGUGGGUUUUCCCCGGGUACUCCGGUUUCCUCCCACAGGGAAAGUUGACAGGGUGGGUUAGGUAAAAAGGGCCCACAGUAAUUGGCAUAUGCUGUUGUGGUGACCCUGCCCUAGUUGGCAAAGCUAAAUAAAUAAAUAAAUAAAUAAAUAAAAAAUAAAUCUGAUACUCAACCAUUUGCACGAAGCUGACCUGGAU
rnacentral:lncRNA from 1 species